rnacentral:rRNA from 1 species
CCUACGGGUGGCAGCAGUCGAGAAUCAUUCACAAUGGGGGAAACCCUGAUGGUGCGACGCCGCGUGGGGGAAUGAAGGUCUUCGGAUUGUAAACCCCUUUCAUGUGGGAGCAAAUUAAAAAGAUAGUACCACAAGAGGAAGAGACGACUAACUCUGUGCCAGCAGCCGCGGUAAUACAGAGGUCUCAAGCGUUGUUCGGAAUCACUGGGCGUAAAGCGUGCGUAGGCUGUUUCGUCAAUCGUGUGUGAAAGGCGCGGGCUCAACCCGCGGACGGCACAUGAUACUGCGAGACGAGAGUAAGGGAGGGGGAACCGGAAUUCUCGGUGUAGGAGUGAAAUGCGUAGAGAUAGAGAGGAACACUCGUGGCGAAGGCGGGUUCCUGGACAUUAACUGACGCUGAGGCACGAAGGCCAGGGGAGCGAAAGGGAUUAGAUACACGAGUAGUC